CACGCACCGGGAGAGACGCGCGGACGCAGACACCCACAGAGACACAAGCCGACCCCCCUCAGAUCCGCCCUGGUUUGCGCUUUAUUUGUGCCUCUCUCUCCGACGCCUCCUCCCUCCAGGCCCUCUGAAUUUUCCUUUCGCGUUUGCAGGGUUUGGCCGUCGUCAUGUCCUCGCUGAUUCGAUGCACCGAUGACCUCCUCCAUCAGAAGGCCGUGCAGUCGUCGCACUACGAGCGGUUGGAGCGUCAGCUGUUGGACGGAGAGCGGUGCCGCCGUGCUGCCGUCUUGGCACUGCGGCAGCGAGUUGCAGAUGUGAAGCGGCGCGGCAAGGACGUCGUCGACCUCCGCCGCGAAAACCACCAACUGGCGGAUCAACUCGCUCAGCACGCGCUUCAGCUUGCCGCGCUGCAGUGCCGCAACGCCGAGUCGAAGAAGAGAGAGAGCGCUGCGGUGGAGCAACUGCAGGAUGGCAUACGAAGCUUUUCGGGCCAUCCAGCACGCAUCGCCCUUCUUGUGCAGGCCCUGCAGGCUCAGAAGCAGCUGCACUGCGCUGGCAGGCGCUUCUCGAACGAACUCCAGAUGCUCUGGGGUUUACUGUGCGUGCGGAGGCGAGCGCUGGUUUUUGUGGCGCAUUCGACACGGGUGCUCAGCGUGCACGCCGCCUUGCAUGUACGGCUGACGAGUGCGCUGCGCGACCGCGUGACGCGGUGCUCGGAGAUGCGUGAGGCGGCUGGCCGCCGCACCGAAAUCGCAACAGCUGCGCGUGUGGACCGCGUGAUUUCAGAUCAGCAGGCGGCGGAGCGACUGCUUCUCAGUGUAAACGCUGAAGCGGGUCUUCUGAGCGUGUACGCUGAGGCUCUGGAUGGCGCUUGCGGAGCAGCCGAGGAGGAGGUUGCCGCGCUUUCAGCCGCGAUCGACAAGUGUGAUGAGCGGCUGUCGGCGAUUCGUAGGACGCUGCAAGAGAACGAAGCGGCGGUGGCCGAGGCAAAACGCUCUUUGACGGCACAGCAGACAGCGCACGCCGAGGCGUCGACGCUACACGAGAUGCAAGUGGUGCGGGCUGCAGAAGAGCUCUCCGCUGCGGCGGCCGACGAGGAAGCAGCCAACUCACACGCAGAGGAGCUGCAGCGCUCGGUGCAGGUCGCUGAGCAGGACACUGAGCUUCUUGCGCGCCGAGUGUACGCCUUGGCAUUUCUCCUCCUUCUCUGCGAGCAGGAACAGCUGCGGCUGUCACGGCAGUGCGCUGAGCAGGCGGAGGAGAAGGCGAAGACUGAGCUGGAGCUCGCGCAACUGCGCAGAUGGCAUGAAGAGCGGCUGGAGCGGCUGCGUGCCUCGCGAGCAGCGGCGGCGAACCGUGCCGCACGAGAUGCGCUGUUAUCAAAGGAAGCGCACGACCGCAAAGCCACGCUGGAUCUCGAGAGGGAUGAGUGGAGACUGCUGUACGCGCAGUUGGUGCGCGACGCCUGCCGUGCAAGGGCUGAGGCCUCGGCCGCUGCGGCCGCCGCGCCAGUCGCCAAAAGGGCGCGACGUGCGCCGGUGGCGGGCGGGAGAGAGGCAGUGGAGCGAGUGCUAAGUGCGCGUCCUCCGCGACGCAAGCGAGCGCGUGCGGAGGGGAGGCCACACGUCACCGCAACGGCCGCGUCGCGUCGACAACGGUCUGCGCUGGAGGCGGUGGACGCGUUGAAUCUGGCAUCGUCACAGCACAGCAGCAUCGGCUACCUCACGACCACGCCCGCGUGUGAGGAGGCUGCAGCGGCAGAGUUGACGUCACAGCAACACAGAAGCGGUGCUGCACACGUGAUGGCUAACAUGCACGCAACACCACUGCCCCCAUCCACGGCCUCGUCUACCCUGCGCCUGUCGUAUCGGCUUACUUCCGUGAAGCCUGCUGCAGUGGCGAAGAAACCGAUACGAGCGCCGCCAGCGGUUCCAGAGUCUCUGAACCCGGUGCCUGAUAAGAAGCGAAAGGCUGAUGCAAGAGUCACAGCUGCCGCUGGUGAUGUGCAGCACACUCCAACAACGGCAGCGGCGCACGCAUCGGCCAUUUCGCCUUUCACUUCCGCAGUAGGGGAAGAGUCCUCGGACUCGAGCUUCUCCUUGGUGAGGAACCGAAAGAGUGCUGCCGCCGAGGCCGACACCGGGAGCGACAUCUCCGACGUCCGACUGUACUCUCCAUCGCCCUCCCCGCGAUGCCCGCCCGGCAGACACGCAGCUGCUGGUCCACCUACGGCCGCCGCGCACCCUCUUCCCAGGCCUGUUCGCCGACAGGGAUGUGGCGAGGCUGCCUUGGCAACCGCCCAUCGCGUUUCCGGCAGCGCUUUGGCUUCUGCGCUGGCCGCCUGCACACCGCGCAGCACCGCCAUCGGCGGCAGUGGCGACCGCACAUCUGCCCACUCUUCUUCUUUUCCGUCCCAUUUCACGGGGAACUUCGCGGCGCUACCGGGCGUGCGCGGCGGGACGCGGCUGCCCCACAAGUCGAAGGCGGUGCGGCUGCCACGGCGCCGUGCGCCCCUUCUGGCGGCAGCUGCCGCGGACCUCGGUGAGGACCUCUUCGCUGACAUGUUCUUAUGAACCCCUUCUCUUCGUCCCACAGCCCACACGUGCCGUGAAGUGGUGGCGUGCGUGCGGGCUGUGGGGCGGUUUCUGUAGGCCAGUGCUGUUCCCAUCCGCACGCUCGAUAGUGUAGUGGGUCUCUGUCACCGCUGCCACGUGCUCUCCCUCCUUAUUAAGUUUUCACCCUGCUGCUAUCUGCUAUACACGCCUCCCUAACUCCUCGUUGUUUUACAAAUCCCUUCGCCUCUCGUGCGUGCUGUUCUGGACGUCAUUGGUGCCUGCUUGCGUGCGUGUGUGCGUGUGCGUACUCUCUAGCGAAGGUACGUGUGCCUGCCGUGCCUUGAAUCUUGACCGUACAGAUACGCGCACAUGCGCACGCACGCACUGCAGUACCGGGUUCUCGAUCCACUUUCACUCUCUGUUUUCCGUGCUCGCCUCUUGCAUCACGCGAUGGCCAAGCACUAGCGAAAUCCCACGCGGUGCAACU
rnacentral:misc_RNA from 1 species